rnacentral:rRNA from 1 species
GAUGAACGCUGGCGGCGUGCCUAAUACAUGCAAGUCGAGCGAACGGACGAGAAGCUUGCUUCUCUGAUGUUAGCGGCGGACGGGUGAGUAACACGUGGAUAACCUACCUAUAAGACUGGGAUAACUUCGGGAAACCGGAGCUAAUACCGGAUGAUAUUUUGAACCGCAUGGUUCAAAAGUGAAAGACGGUCUUGCUGUCACUUAUAGAUGGAUCCGCGCUGCAUUAGCUAGUUGGUAAGGUAACGGCUUACCAAGGCAACGAUGCAUAGCCGACCUGAGAGGGUGAUCGGCCACACUGGAACUGAGACACGGUCCAGACUCCUACGGGAGGCAGCAGUAGGGAAUCUGCCGCAAUGGGCGAAAGCCUGACGGAGCAACGCCGCGUGAGUGAUGAAGGUCUUCGGAUCGUAAAACGCUGUUAUUAGGGAAGAACAUAUGUGUAAGUAACUGUGCACAUCUUGACGGUACCUAAGCAGAAAGCCACGGCUAACUACGU